rnacentral:rRNA from 1 species
UACGUAGGGGGCAAGCGUUGUCCGGAAUUAUUGGGCGUAAAGAGCUCGUAGGCGGUUUGUCGCGUCUGCUGUGAAAACGCAAGGCUCAACCUUGCGCCUGCAGUGGGUACGGGCAGACUAGAGUGUGGUAGGGGAGAUUGGAAUUCCUGGUGUAGCGGUGGAAUGCGCAGAUAUCAGGAGGAACACCGAUGGCGAAGGCAGAUCUCUGGGCCAUUACUGACGCUGAGGAGCGAAAGCGUGGGGAGCGAACAGG